rnacentral:lncRNA from 1 species
CUGUUUCGUAUUUGUCGCCGCACGGAUCGCGUCUCCAUGACAACACGGUCGUUCGAAAGGCGGAACGUUUGAGAGUCGAGACGUACAGACAUUAAAUUAAGUCUUUCUUUAAUCUCGGACACAUAAAGGCUUUCCACAAGAUGGAGUGUAAAGAAAAGAAGUGUUAGCUGUUUCGUUCGAUGUGGCUGAGCAGGGCGCGAGGCCCCACAGUCAGUCACUCACUGGGGAGAAGAACAAGAAGAAGAAGUAGCCUCGCGGGCUGGCGCCACCCGGUGGUGUGUCGGGGUUGCGUGGCAGUUCCGUGGGAUGGAACAAUGACGGUCCCGCCCCCUUGGUCCCUCUCUCUCCCGCUCCCAGCUGUGCUGCUCAUCGCGCUCUGUGUGUACGUGCUGCUCCUGGUGGGGGCGCUGUGGUGCCGACAGCUCCUAUUGGCCCGGUGUUCACCGCAGUGCAGCAGCAGCAGUGGCUGCUGUGCCGACGCCACCCCGUGCGACCGCUGUCUGGUGUGUGCCGAGUCGUGUGACUGGCGCCUGCCCUCGCUGCGCUCGUGCCUCGACCGAACGUGCCCCUCCCCUUCUUGUGCCAUGUGGGACUGCGCGUGUACCUGCCAGGCCCCCGACUGCGACUCAAUCAACUGCCUCUGCUUCGAGAUCAAGUUCAGGUAAAGAGAAGAGGAGCAGCAACCCUCACACAAAGACACACACCUGUGCGCAUAGGCUGGAGAGCUUCAGACACCUGCCUUCAAGGUGUGUGUGUAAUAUACUGUAUCAAGAGCAGGUUUCUUACUCGCACCUUCCAUGCAGACUUUGUGUUAAACUGGAAAAGUGAGUCCGCUUGUUUCAGUGCCUCGUGUGCGUUUGGAUGUUGGAUGCAGAGUGUCGCAGCUCGUGAGUUGGUGCCCUUUUUCGUUCUUUUUGGCAUCCACGGCGCAGAGGUAAUGUAGCCAAAACCAUCGUAAUGCGAGUAUAAAGUCUGAAAAUGGUCCUUCUGCGUUCCUGUGGAUCCACAGCAGAACUGAGACAGGGGGCACUUCGCUGGACCUGUUUCUCCAACGUCAGUUUUAUCGUUGCUGUCUUUUCUUGUUCAUGAAGUGACCGUGUAGCUUUGAAGAAGUGCAGUGAUUGAUUGAUGAAGCAGCAUGUGCAGCUAGAAUGUGCGGUUUCAGAGUGAAUCCCCUCCAAAACGCGGUGCUGUGCAACUCUACUCUUGCAUUCUACUUUUAUGUAUUUAGCUACUUUGCAUUACCCUCCAAGUGUACUUUUGUAAGAAAUACAAUUGCAAGUUUUUUUAAAAUAAAGUAUAGUUCUCUGUGUUUACA